rnacentral:rRNA from 1 species
UACGUAGGGGCUAGCGUUGUCCGGAUUUAUUGGGCGUAAAGAGCUUGUAGGCGGUUUGUCGCGUCUGCUGUGAAAAUCCGGGCUCAACCCCGGACUUGCAGUGGGUACGGGCAGACUAGAGUGUGGUAGGGGAGACUGGAAUUCCUGGUGUAGCGGUGAAAUGCGCAGAUAUCAGGAGGAACACCGAUGGCGAAGGCAGGUCUCUGGGCCACUACUGACGCUGAGAAGCGAAAGCAUGGGAGCGAACAGG